rnacentral:tRNA from 1 species
GGCCUUGUAGCUCAACUGGUAGAGUGUGCGCGUACAAAGUGUACGGGUCGUCUAUGCGUGGGUUCGAAUCUCACCGAGGCUC